GACGUAGGGCGCGAGCGUUGUCCGGAUUUAUUGGGCGUAAAGAGCUCGUAGGCGGCUUGUCGCGUCGACUGUGAAAACCCGUGGCUCAACCAUGUGGUCUGCAGUCGAUACGGGCAAACUAGAGUACUGCAGGGGAGACUGGAAUUCCUGGUGUAGCGGUGAAAUGCGCAGAUAUCAGGAGGAACACCGGUGGCGAAGGCGGGUCUCUGGGCAGUAACUGACGCUGAGGAGCGAAAGCGUGGGGAGCGAACAGG
rnacentral:rRNA from 1 species